UACGUAGGGUGCAAGCGUUAAUCGGAAUUACUGGGCGUAAAGCGUGCGCAGGCGGUUGUGUAAGACAGCUGUGAAAUCCCCGGGCUCAACCUGGGAACUGCCUUUGUGACUGCACAGCUGGAGUGCGGCAGAGGGGGAUGGAAUUCCGCGUGUAGCAGUGAAAUGCGUAGAUAUGCGGAGGAACACCGAUGGCGAAGGCAAUCCCCUGGGCCUGCACUGACGCUCAUGCACGAAAGCGUGGGGAGCAAACAGG
rnacentral:rRNA from 1 species